GACGAACGCUGGCGGCGUGCUUAACACAUGCAAGUCGAACGGAAAGGCCCUGCUUUUGUGGGGUGCUCGAGUGGCGAACGGGUGAGUAACACGUGAGUAACCUGCUCUUGACUUUGGGAUAACUUCAGGAAACUGGGGCUAAUACCGGAUAGGAGCUCCUGCUGCAUGGUGGGGGUUGGAAAGUUUCGGCGGUUGGGGAUGGACUCGCGGCUUAUCAGCUUGUUGGUGGGGUAGUGGCUUACCAAGGCUUUGACGGGUAGCCGGCCUGAGAGGGUGACCGGCCACAUUGGGACUGAGAUACGGCCCAGACUCCUACGGGAGGCAGCAGUGGGGAAUAUUGCACAAUGGGCGGAAGCCUGAUGCAGCAACGCCGCGUGCGGGAUGACGGCCUUCGGGUUGUAAACCGCUUUCGCCUGUGACGAAGGGUGAGUGACGGUAAUGGGUAAAGAAGCACCGGCUAACUACGUG
rnacentral:rRNA from 1 species